rnacentral:rRNA from 1 species
CCUACGGGGAGCAGCAGUCGAGAAUCAUUCACAAUGGGGGAAACCCUGAUGGUGCGACGCCGCGUGGGGGAAUGAAGGUCUUCGGAUUGUAAACCCCUGUCAUGUGGGAGCAAAUUAAAAAGAUAGUACCACAAGAGGAAGAGACGGCUAACUCUGUGCCAGCAGCCGCGGUAAUACAGAGGUCUCAAGCGUUGUUCGGAAUCACUGGUCGUAACGCGUGCAUAGGCUGUUUCGUAAGUCGUGUGUGAAAGGCGCGGGCUCAACCCGCGGACGGCACAUGAUACUGCGAGACUAGAGUAAUGGAGGGGGAACCGGAAUUCUCGGUGUAGCAGGGAAAUGCGUAGAUAUCGAGAGGAACACUCGUGGCGAAGGCGGGUUCCUGGACAUUAACUGACGCUGAGGCACGAAGGCCAGGGGAGCGAAAGGGAUUAGAUACCCGGGUAGUC